rnacentral:rRNA from 1 species
AGUGAACGCUGGCGGUAGGCCUAACACAUGCAAGUCGAACGGCAGCACAAGAGGGCUUGCUCUCUGGGUGGCGAGUGGCGGACGGGUGAGGAAUACAUCGGAAUCUACUCUGUCGUGGGGGAUAGCGUAGGGAAACUUACGCUAAUACCGCAUACGACCUACGGGUGAAAGCAGGGGACCUUCGGGCCUUGCGCGAUUGAAUGAGCCGAUGUCGGAUUAGCUAGUUGGCGGGGUAAAGGCCCACCAAGGCGACGAUCCGUAGCUGGUCUGAGAGGAGGAUCAGCCACACUGGGACUGAGACACGGUCCAGACUCCUACGGGAGGCAGCAGUGGGGAAUAUUGGACAAUGGGCGCAAGCCUGAUCCAGCCAUACCGCGUGGGUGAAGAAGGCCUUCGGGUUGUAAAGCCCUUUUGUUGGGAAAGAAAUCCAGCUGGCUAAUACCCGGUUGGGAUGACGGUACCCAAAGAAUAAGCACCGGCUAACUUCGUGCCAGCAGCCGCCGUAA